GAUGAACGCUGACAGAAUGCUUAACACAUGCAAGUCAUUGGCGAAGCUGCGCUUGCGCAGUCUAGCCAAGGCGGACGGGUGAGUAACGCGUAAGGAACUUGCCCUGCAGACAGGGAUAACAGACGGAAACGACUGAUAACACCUGGUAUUGUCAGGCUGGCGCAUGCCGGCCUGAUGAAAGGAGACGCUGCAGGAGAGCCUUGCGUCCUAUUAGCUAGUUGGUGGGGUAACGGCCCACCAAGGCGAUGAUAGGUAGCCGGCCUGAGAGGGUGAACGGCCACAAGGGGACUGAGAUACGGCCCUUACUCCUACGGGAGGCAGCAGUGGGGAAUAUUGGACAAGGGGGGCAACCCUGAUCCAGCAAUUCUGUGUGCACGAAGAAGGUUUUCGGAUUGUAAAGUGCUUUCAGAAGGGAAGAAGAAAGUGACGGUACCUGCAGAAGAAGCGACGGCUAAAUACGUG
rnacentral:rRNA from 1 species